GAAAGAGUUAAUACUAGACGAAUUAACCUGUCACAAAUAAUAAAUCUUAGACUUUUCUGAAAUUGUUAGUCCUCUGCAUAGCUUAGAUAAUGUAGACAUAUUUUGAAAGAGUUCCUCUUUAGAACAGCCCAACUGAUUAUCGGAGAAAAAUAGCCCGCUAAUAACAAUUAGACACGUAGGAAAAUGGAGAAAUAUACACUACACAAACACACAGGAUUAAAAACCCAAACAAAUUAAAACAAAAAGAGAGAGAAAGAGAACACCCAUGGAAGCCUCUCGCCCAUAUCAGAUCCCUUACCCCUACCUCCCUCUCGCCCAGACGCAACUUUAUGAUUUACAGUAAAUAACAUUCACCACAAAAGAGAGGGAGAGAGAGGGAGAGAGAGAGAGACAGAG